GCUCGACUCACUCUUCGAAAAAACCGGAAUCAAACCGAACCAAAUCGACAUCCUCAUCGUUAACUGCAGCCUGUUCAACCCGACGCCGUCACUGUCCUCCAUGAUCGUCAACCACUACAAGCUCAAAACCGACAUUAAAUCCUACAACCUCGGCGGCAUGGGCUGUAGCGCCGGACUGAUCUCCAUCGACCUAGCCAAGGACCUCCUCAAAGCAAACCCCAACUCCUACGCCGUCGUAGUCAGCACCGAAAACAUAACCUUAAACUGGUACUUCGGAAACGACAAAUCCAUGCUCCUCUGCAACUGUAUUUUCCGAAUGGGCGGGGCCGCGGUUCUCCUAUCAAACAAAA
rnacentral:lncRNA from 1 species